rnacentral:rRNA from 1 species
GACGAACGCUGGCGGCGUGCCUAAUACAUGCAAGUAGAACGCUGAAGGAGGAGCUUGCUCUUCUGGAUGAGUUGCGAACGGGUGAGUAACGCGUAGGUAACCUGCCUGGUAGCGGGGGAUAACUAUUGGAAACGAUAGCUAAUACCGCAUAACAGUAGAUGUUGCAUGACAUUUGCUUAAAAGGUGCAAUUGCACCACUACCAGAUGGACCUGCGUUGUAUUAGCUAGUUGGUGGGGUAACGGCUCACCAAGGCGACGAUACAUAGCCGACCUGAGAGGGUGAUCGGCCACACUGGGACUGAGACACGGCCCAGACUCCUACGGGAGGCAGCAGUAGGGAAUCUUCGGCAAUGGACGGAAGUCUGACCGAGCAACGCCGCGGGAGUGAAGAAGGGUUUCGGAUCGUAAAGCUCGGUUGUAAGAGAAGAACGAGUGUGAGAGUGGAAAGUUCACACUGUGGCGGUAUCUUACCAGAAAGAGACGGCUAACUACGUG